UACAGAGGGUGCAAGCGUUAAUCGGAGUUACUGGGCGUAAAGCGCGCGUAGGCGGAAAUUUAAGUCGGUUGUGAAAUCCUUGGGCUUAACCUGAGAAUUGCAAUCGAUACUGAAUUUCUGGAGUAUUGGAGAGGAAAGUGGAAUUCCCGGUGUAGCGGUAGAAUGCGUAGAUAUCGGGAGGAACACCAGUGGCGAAGGCGACUUUCUGGCCAAAUACUGACGCUGAGGCGCGAAAGCGUGGGGAG
rnacentral:rRNA from 1 species